UACGUAGGGGGCGAGCGUUGUCCGGAUUCAUUGGGCGUAAAGAGCUCGUAGGCGGUUCGGUUAGUCAGAUGUGAAAACUCCGGGCUCAACUCGGAGAGGCCAUCUGAUACUGCCGUGACUGGAGUUCGGUAGAGGAGUGUGGAAUUCCCGGUGUAGCGGUGAAAUGCGCAGAUAUCGGGAGGAACACCAGCGGCGAAGGCGGCACUCUGGGCCGAUACUGACGCUGAGGAGCGAAAGCGUGGGGAGCAAACAGG
rnacentral:rRNA from 1 species